GACGAACGCUGGCGGCGUGCCUAACACAUGCAAGUCGAGCGGGGUUGAAGCGAGGGGUAACUCGAGUUUCUACCUAGCGGCGGACGGGUGAGUAACGCGUGGGCAACCUGCCUCAAGGACUGGGAUAACAGCUCGAAAGGGCUGCUAAUACCGGAUAAGCCCAUGGCCUCGCAUGGGGCCAUGAGCAAAGGGGAAACCCGCCUUGAGAUGGGCCCGCGUCCCAUCAGCUAGUUGGUGAGGUGAAGGCUCACCAAGGCGACGACGGGUAGCCGGCCUGAGAGGGUGACCGGCCACACUGGGACUGAGACACGGCCCAGACUCCUACGGGGGGCAGCAGUGGGGAAUCUUGCACAAUGGGCGAAAGCCUGAUGCAGCGACGCCGCGUGAGCGAAGAAGGCCUUCGGUGUAAGAGUCUGUCUGAGGGACGAAGGGAAGUAGACGGUACGUCCGGACGGAACGGACGAACGGCUAACGUAACCGUGCCACGCAAGCCGCGUAACGUAGUCACGUCG
rnacentral:rRNA from 1 species